AGAUGACGCACAAAGUUUUCAGGCGUGUCGAAAAGCAGUCGCGCUUGCGUACUUACAUAUGUUCAUCGUGUUCGUCGUUGUGGUGGUUACGGUUCAGAGAUAGUAGUGUGCAACAGUAGAAUAGGACUUAUUGAGUAAAGCAUUUAUGGAAAGUGAGCGAAAGUGAUAGAGUGCCAUGAUAAAGUUGUACGAGUGGACAAUUGAAUCUUAUAAUUGAAAGUCCAAAAAAAAGGUGCGUUCACGAUAAAGGUGUCGAAGAAGUGAAUCGUGAUUGGUGAAUCUUAGACGGCCAUUAUUGUGCGCCAUUCGGUCUCCGGUGCAGAUCCGCGCAGCGAAAGGGCAGAUGCCCUUACGCGGUUCGUGUUCCCAUUGGUGGGUACGCGUUAAUCUACCCGGAUCGACACACUUCGUGAGAUCCGGUAGUAUUUCUCAAAACGUAUUCUUGAACAUACUAAAUUUAAAAAAUAUAAAGACAAGUAAAUCAACCACCUCCUGUGAAAAGCGAGUCUUUUGAUAGUCGACUCGAUAGUUGUGUGAUCUCUGUCUAAUAGCAACAGUAGCAACCGCAGCGCCGUCAACAACACGACAACGAUAACGACGACAGUAGCGCCAUCAGCGCGACCGCCAUCGCAGCGAAAAGAAACAGUAUUCCUUUGAGGAAAGAAGAAAUGCCUGUAGGUUCGCGAUCAGUGGCGCGACCAAAGAUGGAGGCCACGUCCAGUUUGUAACACGCAGCCAAGUCUCGUUCAAAGCGCACCAACGGAGCCACGAAGCGCUCCUCGAGUCGGCUGUCCAAAGUCGCUUUUGCCCCGUGCUACUUUUCUUCGUGAGCCCCGCGAGGCUGGAGAAUGGAGCUACGCGUUGGAAAUAAGUACCGGCUCGGACGGAAAAUCGGGAGUGGCUCCUUUGGCGACAUUUAUCUAGGUACCAAUAUCUCUACCGGCGAGGAAGUCGCCAUCAAGCUAGAAUGUAUAAAAACGCGGCAUCCACAGUUACACAUAGAAUCAAAGUUCUACAGGAUGAUGCAAGGUGGUGUUGGAAUACCAACUAUAAAAUGGUGUGGUUCAGAAGGUGACUACAAUGUAAUGGUAAUGGAGCUACUAGGUCCAUCAUUGGAGGAUCUAUUUAAUUACUGUUCAAGAACUUUUUCUUUGAAAACAGUCUUGCUUCUCGCCGAUCAAUUGAUAAGUAGAACGGAUUAUAUUCACAGUCGCAAUUUUAUCCAUCGAGACAUCAAACCAGAUAAUUUUUUGAUGGGCUUGGGAAAAAAGGGAAAUCUCGUAUAUAUUAUAGAUUUUGGAUUGGCCAAAAAAUAUCGCGAUGGCCGUACUCACAAACACAUACCGUAUCGAGAAAACAAGAACUUAACAGGGACAGCCAGAUACGCGAGUAUUAAUACACAUUUGGGAAUUGAACAAUCACGACGAGAUGACCUUGAAUCCUUGGGAUAUGUUCUUAUGUAUUUCAAUAGAGGUAGCUUGCCCUGGCAAGGUUUGAAAGCUGCAACUAAACGACAGAAAUACGAACGUAUUUCUGAAAAGAAAAUGUCUACACCUAUCGAAGAAUUAUGCAAGGGUUAUCCUGUUGAGUUCGUGCAAUAUCUAAGGUAUUGUCGAGGACUACGAUUCGAGGAAAGGCCGGACUAUUCGUAUCUUCGGCAACUUUUCCGGACGUUGUUCCACGAAGAAGGCUUCACAUACGAUUAUGUCUUCGAUUGGAAUAGGCUGAAAUUCGGUAAUGUGAGGCAACAAACAUUGUCUUCGACUCAACAGACACCGAUGCAAUCGCAACAUACGAAUGCAGCGCUGCCUUCUGGGACUAAUAAUGAUCAAGAACAUCGAUCUAGCCCUUACACCCGGCAGUGUUUGGCAAACAUAUCAGUGGGAACAGUGGGUCCGACUGUAGGUGGAACAACUACAAAUUUGAGAAGCAUGCGGCAAAAACGCGAGGCGAUAGACGCUCUUCGCGAUCAGGACAAUCAGGAGAGCGAUCUUCAAGCAUCGGGCACAGGUGGCCAAGAACGAAGAGUCAGCAUGAGGUUGCACCGUAGGGAUGCAGCUGCUGGAGAGAUGCAACCGAAGACCAAGUGAGUUGCUAUAUCACGCCAAAACAUCAUCGCGGAUAAAAGCACCUAAGUAUAACUCGCUCUGUCUAGUAUAUAUAUAUAUACAUAUAUAUAUAUCUAUAUAUUUCGUGAUCGAUAUAAACUCGAAGAGUUGCGCAAUUAGUUUUUUUUAUCGAACUGUGAUUCGCUAUUAAAGAAAUACUUUUGCUUGCGAACUAGAUCUCGACGAUGGAUGUCAGUGUUAGUUGCAUUGAGCUCUAAUUUGGCAGGUCACUUUUUUGGUAGAUUGGUGUCUUGAUACCGUGGCAUGGUUCUUCCUUGAUCAAAGGAUAUCCGGGGAAAAGUUGAGAGAGGAGAGGGAAUGCACUUUUUGAUAUUUGGAACGAAUAUUAUAUUCUUUCUUCUUUUUAAUUUUUUUACUCUUUGUUUCUUCAUUCAUGUAAUCUCAUACAUUGACAAAUGUAAAAUUAUCAUUUCUUUCUAAUUUUGUUUUCUUUCUUUUAGUAAAUAAAAAUGUAAAAAAAAAAAUAUUCUUUCCAAAUGCAACGUUAAAGAUAUAUUUGCCUGCUACACCGGGUGCACUGGGAUGGUUUUUCUUUAUAUCACAUUUUCUUUGUGUUACGGGAUCUUAUAUAAUAAUAAACAAGUAUGGCAGAAAGCCUUAUGAUUAUCGAAGAACUCUCCUUUUAUCUCGUGAAUUCUUUUAUAUAUCUUUUAUAAUUUCUAAUCUUCUAUUACUUUCUUCUAUUACGUUCUAUUAGCGUGAACGAUAAAUCACAUGAGAAAAAUUACUAAAAAUCAUUGAAUUGAAUGAUAUUGACAUUUUUGGGUACUGAUACAAUGUACGAAUGCAUAUUAAAAGUUAUUUUUGAUUAGUAGACACUGCGUUAAAAAUGAAAGUCAUUGUUAGACAGGUAUUCUCAACUUAUAGACUUAAAGAACAGUGGGUAAAGUAGAUUUUAGGUAUGGAGAGAGAAGGAAAAAGGCCACGUAGCCAUCUUUGAACGUUAAAUUCGUGAGUGACGUACUUUAUAAGUUAUUUAUAGCAUGAUUUAUUGGUAUUAUUGUUAUUUAACGUGUUAAUAUAUUCGAAAAUCAGUUUUGUUUGGUUUUUUUUUCAAUUUCAAUCUUGUGAAAUUAGGCAUUGUUUUUUAAGUCUAUGCUUUCAACUCGAUAUCUAAUUUAACCUAACCUAAUAUGAAUACACUUGAAAAUAAAACUCUCAAGAGUUUUUUUCAAAAUUUUUUACUAAUAGAUACUAUGUUAAAACUUAUUUUUGUUUAAUCAAACACUCUCAACGUAGUGUUCAACUAGCAAAAAAUAACUUCUAAAAGCAAUUUUUUUGAGAGUUUAAAUUCUAUGUUCAUAUUCUGAGGACUAAUCCAACAAUUAAAAUUUAUCAUCGUUCAUUGCGAUCGGGAUACCCAAGUAAUCGAAUACUUGAAUCAUG
rnacentral:misc_RNA from 1 species